rnacentral:tRNA from 1 species
GCGUGGCUGUUCCAAUGGCAAGAUGCGGGCCUUCCAAGCCUGAGAUACGAGUUCGACUCUCGUGCCGCGCA